CCUACGGGUGGCAGCAGUGGGGGAUAUUGCACACUGGGGGAAACCCUGAUGCAGCGACGCCGCGUGUGGGAAGACGGUCUUCUGGAUUGUAAACCACUGUCCCCAGGGACGAAAAUGACGGUACCUGGGGAGGAAGCUCCGGCUAACUACGUGCCAGCAGCCGCGGUAAUACGUAGGGAGCAAGCGUUGACCGGAAUUACUGGGUGUAAAGGGAGCGUAGGCGGGGAUGCAAGUUGGGUGUAAAAACUACCGGCUCAACCGAUAGUCGCACUCAAAACUGCAACUCUUGAGUGAAGUCGAGGCAGGCGGAAUUCCUGGUGUAGCGGUGAAAUGCUUAGAUAUGACGAAGAACCCCGAUUGCGAAGGCAGCUUGCUGCAGCGGAACUGACGCUGAUGCUCGAAAGCGCGGGUAUCGAACAGGAUUAGAUACCCCUGUAGUC
rnacentral:rRNA from 1 species